CUUCCCUCAGUAGAAAGGUUCUAAUACCUGGUCUUUACUUCCCGCCUACUGAGUCCCCGCGCCGCCCAAUCCCCUCGCGACCCAGAUUCCCUUGAGGCCCGCCCCUUCGCGCAUGGUCCAGCUGUUGAAAGUUGAUGGCUUGGUUCCCUAGCCUGUGGUACUAUUGUGGAGCCUUAGGAGGUGGGGCCUAAUGGAAAGAAGUUAAGUUGCUGGGGGGCAUGACCUUCAAGGAAAUAGUGGAACUUUGGUUUUUUUCCACUUCCUGAUCCCCAUGAGGGAGAGAGAGAAUUUUAAUAUUUAUUUUUUAGUUUUCGGCGGACACAACAUCGUUGUUUGUAUGUAGUGCUGAGAAUCGAACCUGGGCCGCACGCAUGCCAGGUGAGCGCGCUACCGCUUGAGCCACAUCUUUUAAUGUUUUUUAUGGGAUGCUUCCUAAGCCUCUUUCCCUGUAGGCUGUUGUGUAUCUCAUGAUCCCCAUGAUACUUUAUAUAAUAGAAUGUAUCACAGUGUAUGAUGUGGGUUCAUGUCUUUGAAUUCCUCCACGGCUGGGAUUGGGUUAAUUCUGGAGAUUAAACUCAGUGCACUAAUCAGUGUACUAAUCACACUUGUUAUUAUUUAAUGUCCAGUUCUAUGAGGGCAGGGUCUGUGUCUAUCUUGUUCACUGCUAAUAUCCCCUGUGACAAGUGCAGUGCAACUGCUCAAAGAAUAUCCUUAAAUAGGUUAAUGUGAAUUAAAAAAGAGUUUAAUCUUUAUUCUUUCAUCUGCUUCCUGAUCAGUCCAAAUUCUAGUUAUUUUAAUAAUAUUUACUAAUCAUUUGGCCUAACUGCUCUCCUGGCCUCUUGUCUUCCAUCUCUCUGCAAUCCAUACCAUGACUGCAACAUCAGUAACAUUAAAACCAAACCAAAACAAACAACAACAACAAAAACUCCCACAGUCUACUUGUGUUUCCCCUCCCCAAUCCUCUGCUGUUUCCCCAUUAUCUACAGAAUAUAGUCAAAGCCCCUCAUCUUGGAUUUGAGGGUUUGGCCCCAAUCACUCUUCCUAAAUCUCUGAUCUUAUUUAUUAAGUGAUUACAGUAUACCAAAUGCUAUGCUAGUUACUGAGUUGGAAAGACAAGCACAUCUACUAACUUUAAAGGGCAUGAUCAACUCUAUUAGAGUCUGUGAUUAUGUUUUUAAAAUUUUUUAAAAAUAUUUUUUAAUUUUUUUUUUAGUUUUCG